UAUAUGCCUAACUAUAAAUAGAGGCAACAAAAUUGUGCAUACUGAGAGGUAAGAUUGUAUCACACAGAUUGGUUGCUUGCCUUCUAUCAAGAAAAAUUCACGAGUACUCCAAGGUUCAAAUGGCUAACGUCUGCGACAUUUGUGGUAUUGGUGUAAUACCGUGCACCUUAGAUCAUGAACAAGUACCAUAAUUCUGGGCGAUAGUUCCAGAGAAUCAUCGUUAUGGGAUUGUGAGUCAACAUUUGUUGGUUUGUAAUGUGAUAUGUAACUGUAUUAUAUAUCAAAUUGCAAAGUAACUUACUACGUACACUAAUUAUGUAUAGAAUUGUACUUUGCCGAGGCAUUUAGCCAUUUAGGUACUACAUCGAGCAACAAUAUUUCACAGUGAAGACUUCUCACGGAUCUGGCUACAGGAUGUGUGCGAGAGAGAAUGGAGAUAGAAUUUUUAUAGAGGGCAUUGGAUGGGAUUGCUUUUACUACGACUAUGAUAUAAGAAGAGGAGACACGAUACAUUUUCGCUACAACUAUAAAGAUUUAUUGAUGUAUAUGUCCCCAAUACAUCCAAAUGGUGAACCAAAGGUUAUAAUUACCGAUGUAUUUGACGAAGAAGAAAGACCUGUUGCAUACGACAAUGGGUUUAAUCUAAUACAAAGGCAAGUCAACAACAUGCGUACUUUAGUACAGACUUAUGAGGACUAUCCUGCGCAGGUCCAUUGCUUUACAACUGCCAACAUAUAUGGUAAUUAUUUGGUAAUACAUAGACCAAUAGUUGGGAGCCUUGGUCUACAACAAUAUGGUUUACUUUUACUGGAAAUGAGCCGGCAAACACACCAAUCAACAUAAGUUGAUUAUCAUAUUAAAAGAGAUGCCUAUCUCAAAAUUAACGGUCCUGCAUGGAGUAAUUUUGUAAGUCAACAUGAGAUAUAUGUUGACGUGUGUGUAGUAAUACUUGUUAUUCCUGAAAACAAUAGGCAGGAAGUGACGUUGAGAUUCAAACCUAUUACACCAGUUGGAAGGCAAAUAUUAAGUUCCGAUGAAGAUUCUGAUUCAAAAGAUGAAGACUAGGACCAUUGUUUUUUAGAUAUGUCUUAGAAUAAGUUUUUUUAACUAUGUAUUACAAUGAUUUAUAAUAUUUUUAUAAUAGGUUCUUGUUUUAACUAA